CCUACGGGUGGCAGCAGUCGAGAAUCUUUCACAAUGGGGGAAACCCUGAAGCUGCGACGCCGCGUGGAGGAUUGAAGUUUUCGGGUUUUUAACUCCUUUUGAUGGAGAAGCUAAUGACGGUAUCUAACGCAUAAGCACCAGCUAACUCCGUGCCAGCAGCAGCGGUAAUACGGAGGGUGCAAUCGUUACUGGGAAUCGCUGGGCGUAAAGGGAACGUGGGCGGGUUAGCAAGUCAUAUGUGAAAUCCGAUGGCUUAACCAGAGAACUGCAUUUGAAACUGUUAUUCUAGAGUAUGGGAGAGGUAGGUGGAAUUCUCGGUGUAGGGGUAAAAUCCGUAGAGAUCAAGAGGAACACUCAUGGCGAAGGCGAGUUGCUAGAAAAUAACUGACGCUGAGGCGCGAAGGCGAGGGGAGCAAACGGGAUUAGAUACCCGAGUAGUC
rnacentral:rRNA from 1 species